GUCUCUUUGAUUUAUUUUAAUAAAGAGUUGGGCCUGCUCGGUGAUUAAUAUUUAACAGCUGCGGUAUUAUAACUGUACUAAGGUAGCAUAAUAAUUUGCCUUAUAAAUUGAGGCUAGAAUGAAUGGUUUGACGAAAAUUAUACUGUCUCUGUCUUAUUUAUUAGAAGUUAAUUUUUAUAGUGAGAAAGCUUGGAUAAUUUAAAGGGACGAAAAGACCCUAUUGAGCUUUAUAUUAUACUUUAAAAUUAUUUAUUGUUUUUAUUUAAAUAUAAUUUUGGUUGGGGUGAUCAAGGAAUAAAUAAUUAAUUUUAACUUCCUUAAUUUGUUUAUAGUUAUAUGAAUAAACCAAGUUUUUUGCUUAGAAGAUAAGUUACCAUAGGGAUAACAGCGUAAUUUUUUUUGAAAGUUCAUAUUGAAAAAAGAGAUUGCGACCUCGAUGUUGGAUUAAAAUAACCUUAAGGUGAAGAGGCUUUAAUUGGUGAAUCUGUUCGAUUUUUAAAAUUUU
rnacentral:rRNA from 1 species